UUGAUCAAUGAUUAAGAAUUGUUCUAGGGUUAAAUGAUCAAUACGAUUGACAUUUAACCCAGUGCAAGUGUUGCAGGAGGAUCGAUUAGCAAUUCGAUUGCUAAUUGGCUUAAUUUGAUUAAGCCAAUGGAUUGAGAUUAAGUCUAAUUAAAUAUAAUUUAAUUAGAUUUAGUUUGGACUUGAUUGGAUCAAGUCCAAUUGGUUUAUUGGAUAAGCCAAGUGCAAGGAAAGCCUAGUCCUAGUUCAACUAGGACUUGGGUCAAUCUAAUUUCUAAUUUGAUUAGAAAAUUAAAUCAGAUUUAAAUUUAAUUUAAUCUGAAUAAAUUAGAUUCUUAAUUAGGUUAAGACCUAUUUUAAUUAGGUUGAUCUAAUUUUGGUUUGAUUUGGUUUGAGAAACCAAAUUAAAACAAGUCAUGAGAUAGAAUCCUAGAAAGACUAGGAUUCCACCUUGCACCACAUAAGCCUUCCCCACGCCCUCUCUCUUAUUCAACGCCAAUCUCCACUUAUUUUGUGCAACAAAAGCCCUCUCCCAGAUCUCUCCCACAUUCACAAAAGGUCUCCUCUCUUUUUUCUUACAUGAAAGGUGGUUUGGAUCAAAUCAAAAAGGAAUAAGUUUGGAUUUCGAAUUCUAUGAGAUAGAGUUUUAGAAAUCCAAAACUCUUUCAAUUUUGC
rnacentral:lncRNA from 1 species